AAAAGGGGCCCAAAUAAGCAUUAUUUUUGUUUUUUGCACCAUAACUUUAGUAUAAGUAAAUAGAAAUCUAUGAAAUUUAAACACAAGGUUUAUGACCAUCAAAGGAAGGUUGGGUUUGAUUUUGGGAGUUUUGGUCCUAACAGUUUAGGAAUAAGGGGCCCAAAGGGUCCAAAAUUGAACUUUGUGUGAUUUCAUCAAAAAUUGAAUAAUUGGGGUUCUUUGAUAUGCCGAAUCUAACUAUGUAUGUAGAUUCUUAAUUUUUGGUCCCGUUUUCAAAUUGGUCUACAUUAAGGUCCAAAGGGUCCAAAAUUAAACUUAAUUUGAUUUUAACAAAAAUUGAAUCCUUGGGGUUCUUUGAUAUGCUGAAUUUAAAAAUGUACUUAGAUUUUUAAUUAUUGGCCUAGUUUUCAAGUUAGUCCAAAUGGGGGUCCAAAAUUAAACUUUGUUUGUUUUCAUCAAAAAUUGAAUAAAUGGGUUCUUUGAUAUGCCAAAUCUAACUGUGUAUGUAGAUUCUUAAUUUUUGGUCCAGUUUUCAAAUUGGUCUACAUUAAGGUCCAAAGGGUCCAAAAUUAAACUAAGUUUGAUUUUAACAAAAAUUAAAUUCUUGGGC
rnacentral:lncRNA from 1 species